ensembl:lncRNA
GCAUACCCCCUGGCUUUAACAGUACUGGAAUGGGGCUGGAUUGAUAAGCGUGCAGGAAAAACUAGAAGAAAAACUACCACCCUACAUACGUCCUACCCCAGCUGAUAGUAAAAGUAAUUUUUGGAAAUGGUGACAAAUCUACACCACUAGGUGUGGAUCCCUAGAGAGGAAUCAAUCUAUUAAUCCCACCUUCUGCUAAUUUUAAUUUGCCAAUUUCAUCCUAUACACAGCAUUUAGCAUUGACAACAAGCAUUCAGGUACUUUGGGAAUAUCCUUUCUUAUUCUGUUAUGGCUAUCAGCUAUUCUGGCAACUGGGAAAAGACAGACCAUUUAAACUUUUUGAUAUUCAUUAUGUCGCACUCACUUCAAACGACCAGCAUGAACGCAGAUCAACGACAGCUGCUAUCAGAACCAAUCUUUAUUGAAGAACACACGACUUGGAAAAAGUCGAGAAUGACAUAAUGUUUACAUACAAGCAAUUUUAUCACCUUGGUUGCAACGUAACAUCACACGUAAAUAUCAUCACCAAACCCCACCCCCUGUAUCACAUUUCUACUAUUCCCACACAAACUACUUAUUAUAAUUGUUAUGAUUUUCACCCCCGAGUUCCCAUGCUCUGCUGCCAGGUGUUUUCAUGAGACAUUCAGGAGUGUUGAUGUUAUGGCUCCAAUUCCAGGGCUUGCAAAUUCAGCCCUGGGAAUUGGUCCCAUGACAUGGCGCCCCCCUUUUCUCCGUCCUCCUCUUCUGUGCUUCCUCCAUCACGACAAUUGGAAAGUCACUUCGUUUAUCACAUCCUGUAUCCUGAAAGGUCCAAUAAAUUUGGGGCCCAGUUUUCUUGAAGGUAGCCCCAAUUUGAUGUUUUGUGUGCUUAACAACACUAAGUCCCCUUUCUCCAAUUUUAUCACCUUGCUUGCAACGUAACAUCACACGUAAAUAUCAUCACCAAACCCCACCCCCUGUAUCACAUUUCUACUAUUCCCACACAAACUACUCAUUAUAAUUGUUAUGAUUUUCACCCCCGAGUUCCCAUGCUCUGCUGCCAGGUGUUUUCAUGAGACAUUCAGGAGUGUUGAUGUUAUGGCUCCAAUUCCAGGGCUUGCAAAUUCAGCCCUGGGAAUUGGUCCCAUGACACAUAAUUUUCACAGAUAUAUUCACAAAUCCCAUAAACAAUUUUAAAAGUUUUUUUUCCUGAUUCACUUUCACUCAGAAAAGAAUGCCUCAGUUAACAUGGUACAUUUUGUAAUAUAUCCAUAGCAAAAUGUAAAAGCUACACCUUUUCAUCCUGUUUUCAUCAUGUGAAAAUUUAAAUGGAUUGAAUGGAAUAAUGAAUUAAGACCUAUUUAAUAAAUCAGUGAAGAGACCAUUAAUCAACAUUUCUAAUAAUAAGCAUUAUAAUAUUUUUUGACUAUUUAAGGUGCUCAAAUUUCAUCUGUACUUAAAGAUGGAAGCCCAUUGAUUUUGCAUUUCCCUAUGGAAAUAUAUGUUUUGUAAUUCACUAUACUGACUGCAUAAUACAUAUUGCCUUGAAAUUCCAUGCAUUUCUAAAGACUUGCAGUAUAUGGUGUUGUGCUGACAGUAGAUGGCCUGGGUAUAAACAUACUCAUGCAAUUGAAAAAUGCAUAGAAACUAGACAUGUCCAAAAAAUCGUUUUGAAUCGUAUAUCGGAUUUAUUUCGGAUUGUUCUCGCUUUUUGAUACGCAUUCCGAGACACUGUCUCACAGCACAACCAGCAAUGUAAUUUGAACCAUUGUUGGCCCAUUCUCUAAUUGUCCCUUAAUGUUUCGUUAAUCCCCCCCCAAAUUUAAAAAUAUUGUUUUAAAAUAUAUUUUUUAAUUUUUUUGUUUCUGCAACCUACCUUGAAUGGGAGCUUAGCGCAGCCUAACAUGGCUGCCGCUCCCUGGCCAAUCAGAAGCUUCCAUGAUGGACGCAAAGGUGGGGGCUAGGGUCCUCUGCGUCCACGUGGAAGAUUUCCAUAAAAGCCCGUUGUGUAGCCCGAGCGAGCUAUUCUGGGUUGGGCUUUGUGCGGAGAGAGUGAUGGUCUGCAAACGGAGAGCAAGCAAGCCUCUUGAGGGAGAGAGAGGGUGAAGGGGCCCAGUUUGGCUGUUCCCACAGAGGGGUUUGGAGAAAGGGUUAGGGUUUUGUUGCUGGUUCUUUCUCUUAGGAAGGGAAUUUCUAGUUUUCAAAGUAUCUUUGCACUCCUUGCCAGGGCAUUGCUUGGCAUGGUGGUCACUGGUCCAUUUCUAAUUGAAGGCAUUGGGUUGAGGCUUGUGGGAUUACAUAGCUAGAGACACCAUUGAUUUCCAGUGUCCUUCUUGCUUACAAAUAUAGCAGGGGAAUUUCUAGUUUUCAAAGUAUCUUUGCACAACUUGCAAGGGCAUUGCAAAUUUGAUGAGGAUAGCUCAAGAAAUGAGAGCGGGAGAGCCCUGUAAAAGCCCCCCCCCCCCGGGUUCCUUUUUUUUUGGUGAUUGCGCAUGCCAUUUUAGAAACAUUUAGAAUCAUUACAAAUUUUCAGAAAUAUCCGAAAUUUUUGGGUGAAAAAAUCGGAAAUACUUUCUAUAUCGAAGCGCCUACUUUAGAAAUGAGAAUUGCAACAUUUUUUUCAUCGAUCGGACAUGCCUAAUAGAAACAUACUUGACUCAACAGACAACUAAGCAAAACAAAAACAAAAAGUGAGGUGGAGGGUGAGGUGUACAAUUUUUCUUAUCUUUUCAUAUAAUAAAAAGAAAAGCAAAACAAUAACCAAAAUCCUAGUAUGAAGCAAGACUGUGUAGAAUUCUGCAAAAUUAAAUGAAAAUGAAUUGUGGCAUGGUAUUGCCAUAACUACAGCUUGUGCCAAGAUUCAGCAACAAAACUGUAAUCAUCACUGUGGGAAAUAUCUUUGUUUACUUUAUUCAUGCCUCAUCUCCAAUAUUUGAAGACAGAAGAAUCCUGCAAAACAAUAGCACGAUGGCUGGACUCCUAUCACUGUUACACCAAAAAGUGCAAGCUGAUGCAAGAAAAAUAAUACUUCACAAUAAUUAGUGAGUCUAGAAAAUUCGUAGUCAAUCUCAGGGUGCAUUUACACCAAGCAUGGGCAAACUUCAGCCCUCCAGGUGUUUUGGACUCCAAUUCCCAUGAUUCCCAAUAGCUUACCAGCUGUUAGGAAUUGUAGGAGUUGAAGUCCAAAACAUCUAGAGGGCCAAAGUUUGCCCAUGCCUGAUCUACACUGUAGAAUUAAUGCAAGUUGAAAUAACUUUAACUGCCAUGGCCUAAUACUAUGAAAUCCUAGGAGUUUUAGUUUGAUGAGGCAGAAAAGACCAAAGUCUUAUGAAACUGCAAGUCCCAGGAUUCCAUAGCAUUGAGUCAUGGCAAUUGAAGUGUGGCAAGCUGCAUUCAUUCUACAGUGUAGUUCAGAUACACUAGAAGACUUAAACAGGUUUGAGA